AUGCCUGUGAAGAGAGCCCUUCAGUUACAAGACAAAGAAAAUAGCCCUGCUAAGAGGCGAGCACCAAACAGGGACUAUUCCCCUGUGACUGGAACCCAAAUGAGUCCCACGACAAAACCUGCAGGUACUAAAACCCACAGACUAGCUACUGUAUUUUCUUAGACCUAUAAAACUUAUAUUUUGCCCCCCAGGAGUUUUCAUUUUUGAUUUUUUCGUUGUU
ensembl:lncRNA